GGCAGUGUGGUGUAGUGGUUUGAGUGUUGGACUAUGACUCUGGAGACCAGGGUCCGAUUCCCCACUUGGCCA